UGGGGAAUUUUGCGCAAUGGGCGAAAGCCUGACGCAGCAACGCCGCGUGUGUGAUGAAGGCCUUCGGGUUGUAAAGCACUGUUCAGAGGGAAGAACAAGCGGGGGUAACGCCUCGCCCUGACGGUACCUCUGAAGGAAGCACUGGCUAACUCCGUGCCAGCAGCCGCGGUAAUACGGAGAGUGCGAGCGUUGUUCGGAAUCACUGGGCGUAAAGGGCGUCUAGGCGGCUUGCCAAGUCAGAUGUGAAAUCCCUCGGCUCAACCGAGGACGUGCAUCUGAAACUGGCGAGCUUGAGUACUGGAGGGGGCAGUGGAAUUCCCGGUGUAGAGGUGAAAUUCGUAGAUAUCGGGAGGAACACCAGUGGCGAAGGCGGCUGCCUGGCCAGAUACUGACGCUGAAGCGCGAAAGCGUGGGGAGCAAACAG
rnacentral:rRNA from 1 species